rnacentral:rRNA from 1 species
UACAGAGGUCUCAAGCGUUGUUCGGAUUUAUUGGGCGUAAAGGGCGCGUAGGCGGCGGGGUAAGUCGGGUGUGAAAUCUCAGGGCUCAACCCUGAAACUGCACUUGAUACUGCUCUGCUUGAGGACUGGAGAGGAGACUGGAAUUCACGGUGUAGCAGUGAAAUGCGUAGAUAUCGUGAGGAAGACCAGUGGCGAAGGCGGGUCUCUGGACAGUUUCCUGACGCUGAGGCGCGAAGGCCAGGGGAGCAAACGGG